UAUUUUACGAACGUUGGCGGCAGGUUUUAACACAUGCAACUCGAACGCCCCGCAAGGGGAGUGGCAGACGGGUGAGUAACGCGUGGGAAUCUACCGUACCCUACGGAAUAACGCAUGGAAACGUGUGCUAAUACCGUAUACGCCCUUCGGGGGAAAGAUUUAUCGGGGUAUGAUGAGCCCGCGUUGGAUUAGCUAGUUGGUGGGGUAAAGGCCUACCAAGGCGACGAUCCAUAGCUGGUCUGAGAGGAUGAUCAGCCACAUUGGGACUGAGACACGGCCCAAACUCCUACGGGAGGCAGCAUGUGGGGAAUAUUGGACAAUGGGCGCAAGCCUGAUCCAGCCAUGCCGCGUGAGUGAUGAAGGUCUUAGGAUUGUAAAGCUCUUUCACCGAUGAAGAUAAUGACGGUAGUCGGAGAAGAAGCCCCGGCUAACUUCGUGCCAGCAGCCGCGGUAAUACGAAGGGGGCUAGCGUUGUUCGGAAUUACUGGGCGUAAAGCGCACGUAGGCGGAUAUUUAAGUCAGGGGUGAAAUCCCGCACUCAACUGCGGAACUGCCUUUGAUACUGGGUAUCUCGAGUUGGAAGAGGUGAGUGGAAUUCC
rnacentral:rRNA from 1 species